rnacentral:snRNA from 1 species
GUGCUCACUUCAACAGCACAUAUACUAUAAUUGGAAGGAUACAGAGAAGAUUAGCAUGGCUUGUGCAACCAUGACACACAAAUUUGUGAAGCAUUCCAUAUUUUU